UGUAAGCGUAUACCAAAGUUGUUGCAGUUAAAACGCUCGUAGUCGGAACUUGGCCGUUCCGGAUGUGUGCACGUCGUGUGCGCACUUUGCGGGGACUGCUUUUGUGGUCUUGCGUAGGAUGAGGCACUUUCAUUAGUGAACGUCCUCACGCAACCACUCUUUACUGUGAGAAAAUCAGAGUGCUCAAAGCAGGCAUUUGCCGUGAAUGUAUUAGCAUGGAAUAAUAGAAUAGGACUCGGUUCUAUUUUGUUGGUUUGUUGGGACUGAGUAAUGAUUAAGAGGGACAGUUGGGGGCAUUUGUAUUCCGGCGCUAGAGGUGAAAUUCUUAGAUUGCCGGAAGACAAACUGCUGCGAAAGCGUCUGCCAAGGAUGUUUUCAUUGA
rnacentral:rRNA from 1 species